GUCUCAGCAGCCCUGCACCAGCGAUUACAGACUGGGAUUAGGAAUUCCAUCCCUGGCCCAAAACGUUUUCUACACUAGUUCUACUCCACCAAGUUUUGCAACAUCCGAAACCCUAGCAGAAAUGGGCCACCAGCUGCUGCAGGCUGUUAAUACUGAGUCACUGCCCUUAUCAAAGCAGAUCUAAUCUCCAGAGUGCACAAAAUACCAGCAGCCUGUCUACACUAGAGCUCCCAGCGUGCUUCACACCAGGAUGAGCAACAAGGGACGAUUCCUUCCUUCCCUCCCUCCUGUAAGCAGGACCCCGGAGAGCCCAGCAAUUUGAGUUUAUUACAAACGCUAUUGCUCAGAUUGGGAAACAGGCACAGAGGCAUUAAAGGCCAACAUUUUCUGUCUAAAGUUAGGUUUCAGAGUAGCAGCCGUGUUAAUCUGUAUCCGCAAAAAGAAAAGGAGGACUUGUGGCACCUUAGAGACUAACCAAUUUAUUUGAGCAUAAGCUUUCGUGAGCUACAGCUCACUUCAUCGGAUGCAUUCAGUGGAAAAUGCAGUGGGGAGAUUUAUAUACACAGAGAACAUGAAACAAUGGGUGUUACCAUACACACUGUAAGGAGAGUGAUCAGCCCCAGGAGCUGCAGGACUCUGGAGCUGGCAGCCAGCAGGGCCCUGGCAGGGUUCCAACGACAGGCGACAGCAGAGACAGGAGGCCCCCUGCAAGGUUCCAGCAACGGGCGACACCUCGGGUGAGCACCUGGGGGUGUCCCAUUUUCUCCUGCAGAUCCCAGCCACGGGGGGGGGCAGAGGGGGAACCCCGCAGCUCAGAAACCAUGGAGCCACAAUGGCAAAAGUCACACACAGGUCACGGCUUCUGUGAAUUUUUGUUUAUUGCCUGUGACCUGUGUGUGACUUUUACUAAAAAUAACCGUGACAAAAUCUUAGCCUUAAUUAACAAUCCUCCAAGGGGUCCUCGAGUAAAUAACAGAAGUCAAGUCCUGUGAUUUCUAAUGCAAAACAACAAAAUCCAAGAACAAAUCCCUAUAUUAAUAACAAAACUCUUUUGUUUUGAUUUAUAAUCAUGCAGAACACAAAAAAGAUACUGGCACGUUUUCCUUUGUCAAUCAUCUUUAAGGUUAAUUAAUCCAUUCAAAUUCCCUAGCUAGAGCAAUGUCCAUCAAAUCUCUGGUGAAGGUCUGACUACCUGUUGGACCUAACUAUGAGUCCAAAGAUGCAAGGGUCAAGAUGGCUAAAGACCUUACCAUGGUUUCAGAAUCUAAUAAAUUUAUUUGAGCAUAAGCUUUCGUGAGCUACAGCUCACUAGUCUCUAAGGUGCCACAAGUCCUCCUUUUUUUUGCGGAUACAGACUAACACGGCUGCUACUCUGAAACCUGUCAGAAUUUAAUGUAACUAUUAACGCCCCUCGGAGAGCUCAUGGGCAGUUACCUUACAGUUCAGCCCAGAAUUCUGCACGGACAACUGGCAACCAGCGCAAGGGGCUGAGAGCCCUGUGUGUGGGUAACACCUUGCAGACUUCAGAGACAGAAGAUGGACACAUCUGGGGCACAGUUGUUUCCACAUCCACAUAGCUUUGAUCUGCUUCCAGGUUUGUGUCAAGGUGAAGCCAAAUCUGGGACGCAGCUGCUUCCACGUCCAGCUGAGCUUGAGCCUUCAGGAAAGUCCUGCUGUGAGCAGGGGGUUGGACUAGAUGACCUCCUGAGGUCCCUUCCAACCCUGAUAUUCUAUGACUCUAUGAAAGAAGCCCCUGAUGCAGCUGGCAGUUUAGUGUUCUGCAAACACAUACAAGUCACGGCAACCCUUUGGAGAACACCCUUCCUCCCAAGGGAUCCCAAAGCACUUCACAAACAUGGAAAUAUAAACGCCUCUGGGAUACAAGAUGGCAACCAGCCAGCUCACUGCACAGCCACAGGGGAAGGGAAAGGUUGACGACACUGAGGCAGAGUUUAUAGGUUCUUAGUCCAGGACUAGGAGCCAGCAGCUCCUGGGGCACCUGGUCCUAAUCCUGGCUCUGAAAUCAUCUCUUACUGCAGCCAUGGGCAGUCACUGCUCAUCUGGCAAAUGGGAAUAAUGUUACUGACCCACCACCCAGGGGAUUAGUUUGAUUGCGCUAGUGCCCUAAUUUAGCUAGGUGGUGUACAAUCCCUGUCCUGAAGAGCUUAUGUUCUAAAGGUUAUUGUCAAUCAAAAUACUAUAGCCCCAGCUAAUAAUGGAUAUGCUGUGUAUCUGUGUGGAGGAUAUGUCCCUUAAACGAAUGCAAGCUAGGAAAGGCUGAGUUAAGGUUGUAUGGAUCUGAUCUCACUUUCAAUUACUUCAGUUGGCUUUGGAUCAGGCCCCAAAUGAACUUGGCAUGCGGGUAUAUUCUCUAGGGGUCAGGACUCCUGGGUUCUAUUCCUGAUCCUUCCACUUACUCCUUGUAUUAUUCUCUGAUUCCUUCGCUGUAAAAUGGAGACGAUGCUUUCCGAGUUCUCCAGGAGGAUGGGAAGUUGAAAUGUGUGAAAAGCACACAGAUCUUUGGAUGGAAGGUGCUAAAAACAAGGGGAGUACCACCUUUUCCUGGAACACCUGCAUCGGCUCAAUACACAGUGUGUCAGGCUGGACUCAUUUGCUGCUGAAGUCCUGCUGUGUCUGGUUUUUGUGGGUUUGUUUCAGGCUCUGGACAUUUAGUUAAUGCAGAGCUCUGUGGCUGAAUGCUGAAGAAUGCUUUACCUUCAGUGAAUACGUCUGGAGACCAGCCUUACCAGAAUCAAUAGCAAACCUGCAGUGCCCCGGCUGUAAGUGAAAUGAGCUUUGAUGUGUGACUAGAAUUGGAAUCUUUGUUCCGCUCUAAUGACAUCUGACAGCAUUUAGGCCAACUGAAGCCAUCUCCGGAUUCUCUAGGAACACUCUGAUGGGGGGCUGGGUUUGUUUGAUUAGGUCCGUGCACAGCACAGGUAUUUCAAGCCUGUGUGGCUAGUAAGUUAGGCUCCCUUACCUUCCCUUAGGGCACAAUCCUGCUGCUAUUGCAUUCACUGGCAAAACUCCAGUUCACUCUCAUGGGUGUAUGAUUGGGCCCUAGUAGAGCAGCGUUUGCUCCUCCCUCCCCCAUCAUAAGUUAUGCAUGUUCUAAUUUGCAGUGGAGCUGGGAUGUUCCAAACCACAUUAUUUCAAUAGCAGCUAGAGCCUCACUGCAGGUUAGAGUUUACCACAAUUGAAUUGGAGGAUCUGGCUGAGACAGCCAAGGUCAAGGCAAGGUUGCCCCCAGAAUUGAGUAAGUGGCAGCUUUGGAUUUUUGUUGGGAGGUUUUUGUGUUCUUUUUUUCUCUCUUAUCUACUCCUGUCCAUGCCCUCAACUGAAACAUCAGACACUGGGGCUCAGUAGAGUUUGGUUAAUUAAUUGCUUGGUGCAGAGUUGGAAGUUAGCUAGAGAAACCAUGCAAAAAGCUAGUUACAACCCAGGUACCUUUAAAAAUAAAAUUUAAAAGAGUGUAAUCAACUUGCAGGAAACCGUGGGAAACAAGCUAUCUGGGAUGACAAUUGGAUGCUGUUUUAUUUAACAUGGACAAAUGUACUGCGAACCAAGUAAUGUAAAGAAUUUCAUGCCUGUUAUUUCCUGUUACAGUGUCUGGAACACCAUUUAUCAUUACUGUAAUUUGAAAUUAAUAAAACAGAUCCAUUCUGUCCUGUCUGGAAGGGGGACAGGAAAGUGUA